UACGAAGGGGGCUAGCGUUGCUCGGAAUUACUGGGCGUAAAGCGCACGUAGGCGGAUCUUUAAGUCAGGGGUGAAAUCCUGGAGCUCAACUCCAGAACUGCCUUUGAUACUGAGGACCUUGAGUUCGGGAGAGGUGAGUGGAACUGCGAGUGUAGAGGUGAAAUUCGUAGAUAUUCGCAAGAACACCAGUGGCGAAGGCGGCUCACUGGCCCGAUACUGACGCUGAGGCACGAAAGCGUGGGGAGCAAACAGGG
rnacentral:rRNA from 1 species